rnacentral:tRNA from 1 species
GGAGAGAUGGCUGAGUGGUUUAAAGCAUUCGCUUGCUAAGCGAAAGAAUAACAAUUCCACGGGUUCGAAUCCCGUUCUCUCCU